GUGCACCCAAGUGGAGACUCUGCCCCAGGGACGAGCUGAGGCUGCUCCCCGCAAGUUCCCCACUUCCCGGCGGGCAGAGAACAAGGAGCUCGGGGCUUGGAGUCCGCCGUGUGGCGUUCAGCAAGUCAUUUCACCUCCCUCGACUGCGGAUUCUCCCGUUGCUGCGAGAAUAAAAUAAAAGAUUUGAAAUCAGGUACACCA